AACUUCUGCAAUGCGGGAAACCGUGACGGGGGGAUCCCAAGUGCUCAUGCAUUGCAUGGGCUGUUCUUUGGUCUAAGUAACCAGAGGAGUAAGGGCUGGGCAAGACCGGUGCCAGCCGCCGCGGUAAUACCGGCAGCUCAAGUGGUAGCCGCGAUUAUUGGGCCUAAAGCGUUCGUAGCCGGAUAAGUAAGUCUUUGGUUAAAUCCUGCGACUUAACCGUGGGAAAUCUAGAGAUACUGCUUGUCUUGAGACCGGGAGAGGUUGGAGGUACUCCCAGGGUAGGGGUGAAAUCCUGUAAUCCUGGGGGGACUACCUGUGGCGAAGGCGUCCAACUGGAACGGGUCUGACGGUGAGGGACGAAACCUAGGGGAGCGAGCCGGAUUAGAUACCCGGGUAG
rnacentral:rRNA from 1 species